GAUUGCUCCGGUGGCCUAAGUGGUUAGAGUGUCCGCCUCAGAUGCGGGAGGUCGCGGGUUUGAACCCCGGCCGAAUCA